CCCCUCUUUCCAAAGAGGGACAUGGGAGACUCCAAGAAUCUUUAUUCUGAUGGAAGUGUAAAGCAAGAUGAAUAGAUWGGCCCUGCUAGGAUUGAAACUCUGCAGCUUCCUCUUGGACACUGUGGCCAGAGGCAUUUGGCAGUGGGGAGUAACCAGCAAGUCCCACUGAAGAAGCUCCAGACUGGAGAAAACCAGCUCAGCACUUCCUUCUCUUCCCAUUCUGGGCUUGCCUGGUUCCCCCAGCCCAAAACAAGAUCUUCAAACUCAGUCCAAGCGGAUUUGGUCAAGAGGUCCUCAUGACUCCUGCAUCUUGAUGUAAAUCCAUAUGUCUUUGCACGGCACAGUGUCUGUGCCCCUGCGUUUCCUCAGUAAGGCAAAGGAGCCCGGGAAUGUUGAACAUCAGCCGGCAGCUGAAAAGUUGCCCUCURGUAAUACAAGCCAGACCUGUGGAAACCCUCCUGAUCUCCAAAGCCCUUAGCAGAUCCAUCAAGACUUUGAGGAUGAAGAGCAGAAUCAAGGCAAACAGGAAGGUUUCCAUCUGGUAGAAGUCUUGUAGGUGCUGUAACUUCAGAAUAAUUUCAAGCCUGUACUUUUCACUGAAGACUCYGAAGUUGAAAGUGAAGUCAAGCAGAGUGUGGAAGAGCACAGAUUUAUUUUUCUGUCUCCUGUGUCCAUUCAGAAAGACACUAAAGCAACACGUCUCAGGGCUGUGAACACCUACACCCAGCAAUGCUGGGAACGGCGGGGCUUAUAGGUUAUGGAGAAUCCCUUUGCAUGGCUUUCACAUGGGAAAAGUGUUUCCGAGGCUCGCCCUGCUGUUUCUUUUUUAUCUUCUUGCUAUGUCAGUUAGUCUGACAGGAGACAU